UUGUGCUUGUUUCUUUCUUACUCCUCGUAUAACCUUUGAGACAGCGAAUUUUUGCCGUGCAUAUUUUGUUAACGUUUAGAUCAAAUUCCUGUCGGGAGAGAUAUUUAGGUUGCCAUAUCUUUUAAUGAGGUAAAUGCUGUUUGAUCUUCUGUUUUCUUUUUUGAAUUUUGGGUUAAUGGAGUUGGGGUUCUGUUAUUGAUGUAGGAUGUUAUGAUUGAUUCCAUGCGGCUGGAAGGGUUCGGAAUUCAGGAUUUAGACAAAUGGAGAAGUAUGUAUCCAGUGUAUUUUAAUGGUCUGUUGAGAGUGAUAUUGAAGUGUUCAUGGUAUUAGUUGAGAAACAACUUUAAUGUUGUUAUUACAGCGUUCUUCCUGUAACUCCCAAUGGAUGCUGUUGCGGGUUUUCAACCUGGUCCAAGUAAUCAAACAGAAGUAUUUAGUGAGACUGCGGAAGAUCAAAUUGCUGGUAUAGGUAACCAGAGAGAACCACUUAGUGAGGCAGUGGACUAGCAACACUAAGUGCUAGUAAUCAGACAGAUGUUCUUGACAGUACAGUGGUUUUUCGAGAACUUGGUCCAACUAAUCAGGCAGAUGUUCUUGAUAGAGCAGUUGAUUUUCGAGAACCUGGUCCAAGCAAUCAGAUAGAAGAUCUUAAUCCAAGGCAGACUGAUCAGAUUUCUCCUCAUAGCGUUCUGGAGUUUGAAGUUAUGCAUGAUGCUGCCAAUGAUUUCUAGCCCUGGAAACGUUCCUCCAUUGUUUUCAGAUCACCGGCAUGAUACGACUGAGCCUUUUAGGAUCUCUAGACAAGAAUUUGAAUGAGAAGGAAGUUCAUACUCCAAAUUUGGAGGAUGUAUUAGAGUCUGGAGGACUCUCCUUACAGUUUCAGCAACGUUCAAAACCACCAGCUUCUGCUGUUUCACAAGAAGCACCUGAGAUUUUUUGAUACACCUAUUUCCCUUCGUAGCUGUAUGUUUCUCAUCAUUUGAUAUAUGCUUGGAGUGUAUGGGUGACCAGACUCAUCUUGCUUUACUUUUAAAUGAAAUAUGCCUUAUUAUUUUCUUUUAAUUUGCUGUUUCGGGGCAUUCAACUCCUCCAUUGGCUAUCCGAUCAACUCCUGUACAGCAGGAAAAACCAAGGGCACAGAAGAGAAAGCUUCUUGAUAAGUCCAUAGUGUUUUCUAAUAAGUAUGAUUGAUCAUAUGGUUCAUAUUGAUCUUUUGCUUCACUUUGUAUUGCUAAUCAUAUAAUAAUUUGUAGAGGUUUAUGAAGAAAGCACUUGAAGAUUCCAGUGAUUUAUUAAGGAAGAAGAGAAAGAUGCCUGGCUCUGAUUUUGAUGUUUGGAAGUUGAACAACCAUGUAAGAAAGGAGCAACUGGAUUGUCUGAAGAUAUCUGCAAUAUCUUCGAAAAGGACUAUAUCUCUGCCAAGCCCGAUUUGGUUGCCAUUGAGGAAGAUGUUGUAUAACCCUUGGCUACAGAUUCUCUUUCAUCUGAAACAGAGCCUCUGGUUACUGAUUCUCCUGCCCCUCUGGCUGAAGCUAUCAUGGAUCCUGGGGUUGUGCAAUCUCCUUUGCGCGCAACUGAAACUAUAGAAUCUCCUCAUCACUCUGCAAAAGCAAUCUAAGAGCCUAGUGUGCACAGUUUUGUAGUUCAGUGCCUGAAAAUGAUAUAGAAAUUGAAAGAUUUAGAUAUGGGGGAAGCAAUAUUGGCAAUGAUACUUUUUACCUGAAUUUAUGGCUUCUCCUAGAAAAGAUGGCUUUGCUUCUCCCUCGAUUAAAACUUUAGGAUCUGAGUGGUGCCUCAGGCCGGAACAACUAUCAGGUUUCCAAUGCUAACCACACCAGUUGCUGCUUCCACUAGAAAUUGUGGAUCUGAGCUUGAAAAACCUAGAACAGUUUUAGAGGAGCGGAUAGGACUCAAGUACACUGGACUAUCAAAUAUUCCUGAGUUGAUAAAUUCUGCAAAAGCAAAGUUUGUUUUUGUGUGUUUAUAUUUUGCAUUCUGUUGGACCACUUGCUUACAAGAUAAUUCCGCAAAAGCAGAAGCAAGUUUUUGUGUGUUCAUCCUUCUCUUCCAACUGAUUAAUUCAUUAUGCUAUCGGAGUUAGAAGCAUGGGUUCGGACUUCUUAAACACGCAAGGCAUGUCUGUCAGACUUGUUGCCUCAUGAAGAAAAUAUUUGUGUGUUAUUAUAAGAGACAAUGUCUGAAGUGUGUGUCGCAUACAUGAUCUGCUUGCCUGAGCCUUCAAGAUUCAUUUACUAUAUCUUGUUACAGUGCCAUAUGCAUUUGAUAAUCUCUGGAAUUACUUUA